ACCCGUGUAGCUCAGUCGGUAGAGCGCUGGCCUUUUAAGCCAGUGGUCGUGGGUUCGAUCCCCACGGGGGGUG
rnacentral:tRNA from 1 species